AAGUCGUAACAAGGUUUCCGUAGGUGAACCUGCGGAAGGAUCAUUAUCACUAAUAAUCCAAAUUAAAAGAGUUGCAAAAAAUAGGCGCAAGUCUAUUCUUUACUUCUCUUUUUUUCAACCAAUUUAAUCAAAUGUGAACCGUUUGUUCUCUUCGCUUUUUUUUUUGGUGUUGUUUGUUGUUGUUGUUGUAGCUUUUACUAGCAGCAACAGCAGCAGCAGCUUCCAAAUUUAAAUGAAGGAACACCAAUUUUUUUAACCAAUUGAACCUUUUCUAAAUUAAAUGUUGUUUGAAUUUCUGUUCUGAAGUGAAGCUAAUAUAUGAUCGAGAGAUCAUUGUUUAUCUUUAAAACAUUACGAAAUGUAAAUUAUUAUUACAAAAACAACUCUUAGCAACGGAUAUCUUGGUUCUCGUAACGAUGAAAAACGCAGC
rnacentral:misc_RNA from 1 species